rnacentral:misc_RNA from 1 species
GUAGACGACGAAGGGGGGUGAUUGGUAUCAGUAGACGACAAAGGGGGCUGAUUGAUAUCAGAAGACGACGAAAGGGGGUGAUGGAUAUCAGAAGACGAUGCUGCCUUUCUGUGUCCCUUCGCUUGCUUUUUCUGUGCAUCCUUUAUUUCUCGGCACGUCUUAUCUAUCAUUAUCAAGAAAUCUCGUACGAUUACAAACAACCGUAAGCCCUCG